rnacentral:rRNA from 1 species
GAUGAACGCUGGCGGCGUGCCUAAUACAUGCAAGUCGAGCGAAUGGAUUAAGAGCUUGCUCUUAUGAAGUUAGCGGCGGACGGGUGAGUAACACGUGGGUAACCUGCCCAUAAGACUGGGAUAACUCCGGGAAACCGAGGCUAAUACCGGAUAACAUUUUGAACCGCAUGGUUCGAAAUUGAAAGGCGGCUUCGGCUGUCACUUAUGGAUGGACCCGCGUCGCAUUAGCUAGUUGGUGAGGUAACGGCUCACCAAGGCAACGAUGCGUAGCCGACCUGAGAGGGUGAUCGGCCACACUGGGACUGAGACACGGCCCAGACUCCCACGGGAGGUAGCAGUAGGGAAUCUUCCGCAAUGGACGAAAGUCUGACGGAGCAACGCCGCAUGAGUGAUGAAGGCUUUCGGGUCGUAAAACUCUGUUGUUAGGGAAGAACAAGUGCUAGUUGAAUAAGCUGGCACCUUGACGGUACCUAACCAGAAAGCCACGGCUAACUACGUGCCAGCCGCCGCUGUAA